AUGAUUCAUUGGAACUUAUGCCUCAAUUAUCACCUCCCAGCAGCAAAGAACUGGUGGGAUCACAAACCUGCAAAAGUAUUGGAAAAUGAGCACGCAAAGAUACUGUGGGACUUCCGAAUCCAGACUGACAAAGUUCUGGAACACAACACACCAGACAUCACAGUUGUGGAAAAGAAAAAGGUUUGGAUCAUUGAUGUCGCCAUCCCAGGUGACAGUCGCAUUGACAAAAAACAACAGGAAAAACUUAGCCGCUCUCAGGACCUCAAGAUCGAACUUCAAAGACUCUGGCAGAAACCAGUGCAGUUGGCAGAUCAUGAUUUUGUCAAUGUUUCCAAAUGCCGGCUGAGAUCUUUUGGCACUGCACCCAAUGUGCCGAUCACCACCGGGACCACCUGCACUGGUUUCUGCCAGAGUCUUUGAAGUUCAAUCUUGAGGUCCUGAGAGCGGCUAAGUUUUUCCUGUUGUUUUUCGUCAAUGCGACUGUCACCUGGGAUGGCGACAUCAAUGAUCCAAACCUUUUUCUUCUCCACAACUGUGAUGUCUGGUGUGUUGUGUUCCAGAACUUUGUCAGUCUGGAUUCGGAAGUCCCACAGUAUCUUUGCGUGCUCAUUUUCCAAUACUUUUGCAGGUUUGUGAUCCCACCAGUUCUUUGCUGCUGGGAGGUGGGACUUGAGGCAUAAGUUCCAAUGAAUCAUUUGGGCCACAUGGUUGUGCCUCUGUUUGUAGUCUGUCUGUGCGAUUUUCAAACAGAGGCAUAAUGAUGUGGCCCAAAUGAUGAUGAUGAUGAUGAUGAUUAUUAUUAUUAUUAUUAUUAUUAUUAUUUAUGAUUGAAAGCCCUUGGUGAUGCAGCGGAUUAAACCGCUGAGCUGCUGAACUUGCUGACCGAAAGCUUGCCAGUUCAAAUCCGGGGAGCUGGGUGAGCUCCUGCUGUUAGCCCCAGCUUCUGCCAACCUAGCAGUUCGAAAACAUGCAAAUGUGAGUAGAUCAAUAGGGAAGGUAAUGGCGCUCCAUGCAGUCAUGAUCUUGGAUGUGUCUACGGACAACGCUGGCUCUUUGGCUUAGAAAUGGAGAUGAGCACCAGCCCCCAGAAGUUGGACACGACCGGACUUAACUUCAAGGGGAAAACCUUUACCUAUUUAUGAUUGUGUCUUCCAGGAUUUUAUGGUGGAUCUUGGAGACGUUUGUGGUUACGGCAACAGUGCCAUGGUAAUAAAUCUAAAUCCGUUACCUUUGUGAGACUUGUUUUGAGACAACGUAAUUGGGUCAGAAGGAUAACUGCCAUAUAGUACGCAGAAAGUGUGUUUUCUGUGCAAAACAAAAAAUCCAUAUGGCACAGAUUUCACGCUUGCUCUGGCAGGGAACAAUUGGGACACAGGUCGCCACACAAUCAGGCAAUAAAUCCUCCCCGUUCGUGCUUGGCCCACCUCUCCCCCUGCUCCCCGAUCGUACUUACCACCGGACCAUAAAAGCCCCAGGGAUUCAAGGAUAAUAUUAUCUCAGACACAUAUCAUACCCGGUUCGGUUGCCACUCGUCUCAAGCAAAUGUCCUUAAUAGACUGACAUUUUCAGGCGGCUUGACAACUGCUUUCCUGGCAUUGUUAGCCUGGUUUGAAAAUAGAACCCAAAAAAAGUAGCUCGCUGUUGAUAGCUGCCAGGACCUGUCCAACCAUCACCUUUCAGGACGCAUUGAAUUAGUGGGCGCUUUGUCCGGACAGGUUUGCAUUGGGAUCUGUCACCAUAAUUACUUGUUCGUCAUUUGUAUGACUAACUGGGUUCUGCACUGAAAGGCGAAGCUUGUCAGCACCAUUAAGCCGGAGGAGUGAGUGGAGGGAUGGGAAG
ensembl:lncRNA